GUCGAACGCUGGCGGCGUGCUUAACACAUGCAAGUCGAACGGAGUGGCGAACGGGCGAGUAACACGUGGGUGACCUGCCCUGCACUUCGGGAUAAGCAUGGGAAAAUGGGGCUAAUACCGGAUAGUGUGGGAUGGGCCCGCGGCCUAUCAGCUUGGUGGUGGGGUAAGGGCAUACCAAAGCGGCGCCGGGUAGCCGGCCUGGGAGGGUGGACGGCCACCAGGGGCCUGCGACACGGCCCAGACGCCUAUGGGAGGCAGCGGGGGGGAACAUUGCACAAUGGGGGGAAGCCUGAUGCAGCGACGCCGCGUGGGGGAUGUCCGCCUUCGGGUUGGAAACGCCUUUCACCAUCGACGCGGUAGAUGGAGAAGAAGCACCGGCUAACUCCGUGCCAGCAGCCGCGGUAAUUC
rnacentral:rRNA from 1 species